rnacentral:lncRNA from 1 species
GCAUCAAAAAGUGUCGCCAAAAACAUGGCGGAUUUUCGCGCCAUAUGACGCCAUUUCCAUGACAACUGGUUCCUCCGGCUCAUGAAAUUACCACUGACCAGGCUCAAUUCUGAGCCCGCUGCGAUUUUCACACCCCCCUGGUUUUAUCAAAAAUAUUUUUGCUUUUCGAAGUUUUUGCAGCAAAUUCUCGUUGUUUUUUUAUAUUUUUUCGACUUUUGACCAUUGGUUCAAAGAUUUAAAAGUCGUGCACGCUAUUCUCACCCGCGAAAGACAACAAACCAACAUGAAAACCCCGAAAAAGUUAGGCAAAUGCGAUAUUUGAUGGCACAGCUAACAGGUAUUAAAUAUUUCACAAUUUACUAUUGAUAUGCUUUUAUUUUUAAUUUUUAAAAGAUAGUGGGAGUAAAUGAUAGAAUAUAAUCCAUUAGAUAACAGGCUAUUUGUAUAGUAUAACGUAUUAUUUCCCCCCUUGUAUUCAAACUUUGUCGUAAAAAAUACAGAAACUUUCUUUUUAUAUUCAAAGUUGUUUUUUUUUUGUUGUUUUUUUCACUUUUAUACUAGCUUUGUUAAAUUGUUGGCUGGCCAUAGUUUUUGUUAAAUAAACAAAUUUUGCUUUAUUUAAUUCAGUUGAAUCAGUUUUUUCCCUCAAAUCCUUUGGGUUUUCUAUAUAGACUGAUGACUGAAAUCUGACAUGCUUGAAACAAUGUGCUUCUAUCUAUAUUCUUUGUGUUUAUAUAUACUAGAGUCUGUGGUUAUUAUAGUAUGCAUAAUCUAGGGUGCCAGUAGAAGCUAGCCUAGGGGUACCAGAAGCUCAGGAUACUGUGGGAAACUUAUCUGGUAACAUGAUUUCUACCUAGAUUUCUGACUAAUAUGACAUGUUGGAUUUAGGAUUCUUGAACCACUAGAAAUAAGAUUGUACUUCUUGAAUGUUGGCUACCAAUCACAAGUGUAGGUAUUAAGCAAAGUAUCUAGAUUAUAGGCUUUAUAGGGUUGCACUGGAUCUCAUUAUACAGGCCAGAACUGAGAAAGUCACACAUGCUAGUCAGACAUCAAGUCAGAAACAAUUUAAUUGGUAGAUAAUGUCACUUCCAGUCCAUGCAGGUGGAUUUAUUUAGUGUUUUGUUCAUUUCAGUCAUCUUUUGGUGCACCCCUGUAUCAGAUGCAACUACCUGAAACUAAGAAAUCAAUGAACUUCAACAUUUCAGGUGAAAGACCUAUAAUAUUAUUUUUCAGGUAGUUGCAUGAUACAUUCAAGCCUUUAAAUAGUGUGGUAGCUUUUAAAAAGCAUGCUUUUCUCAUUUCCUCUCUUCACUUUCUUACUCUUUUGUCUGUAGUGAAAACUUUAUUUUACAAUAUUUUAAUUAUAUAAUCUCUUUUUGGUCUAAUUGCAGAAUUAUUUGAUGGUGAGACGUUCAUAGUUCAACCUCUUUUUUAAAGAAUAAUGAAUUAUCAUUUAUUAGAAAUAAUUAAUUUUGUUAGCAGUGAUAAAACUAUCAAGACAAAGUUAUUAUUAUGACUUUGUAGCCAGAUGGGUAUGAUUUUGCUUUGGCUGUUCAGCAUUUUGAUCCAUUGUGAUAUGUCUUGUGGUACCUGUGAAUGAUUUUACCUGCAAAAUGAAUGACAGAAUAUCAGAAUGUAACAUUAUACAUUAAGAUACACCCUUACACUGCAAUAUAAUUAUGUAAUAGAUGUUCUAGUGUGAAGAAUAUGGUCUUUGACACUCUUUGUAUAUAAUAAACAUGCUAUUGUGUAAUGGAAAUGAUCAAAUAAAGUUAUUUCUGCAACAGCCCUUGCAUUCAAACACCUUAUUUGUAUUUUUCUUGUUCAUGCUUGAGCAUCAGCCUCAGGAUAAACAAAUUCCAUUGGAUUUGUGAGGGCACUUGAACUAUAUUGGGUCAUUACAUGAAUUACAGAAAAGAUUUAGACUCCCACAGCCUGUGCUACAAGUUACAGCUGUGACAGUGUAGAGGGGGAAUCCACAAGUAAAAUGUGCUAGAAUAUCCAAAGGGNNNNNNNNNNNNNNNNNNNNGAGGGGGGGGGGGGGGGGGGGGUGAUACAAAUAAAAAAAUGAAGUUUAAUAUGACUUAAAAUUAUUAAGCAAUUGAGUGCACCAGCACUUUCCCCUUAACAAGUAAAAUUAUCUGGUAUUGGACUAAGAUAACAAAGUAGGGCAUAGUGCCCCUUAAUUAAUCACUUAUAAUAAAAGGUUUAAAUGCUGAAUUUUUUGAAAGUGCCAGAGUGGCAACUGGCAGGGUA